UUGAGCCUAGUGCGGUGAAAGUUGCAUGCUGGGUUCUUAGAGGGACGACACUUGGUAACAGGUGUCGUCUACUCGAC
rfam:Vibrio harveyi ATCC BAA-1116 chromosome I, complete sequence.